GCAGCUUUAGCUCACUUGGGAGAGCGCCAGACUGAAGUCUAACUUUGGCCUAAAUCAUCUGUGCGGUGUAUCUGGAGGCACUGUGUUCGAUCCACAGAAGCUGCA